ACGGAAGGCAGCAGUGGGGAAUAUUGGGCAAUGGGCGAAAGCCUGACCCAGCAACGCCGCGUGCAGGAAGAAGGUCUUCGGAUUGUAAACUUCUUUUAUGAGGGACGAAGGACGUGACGGUACCUCAUGAAUAAGCCACGGCUAACUACGUGCCAGCAGCCGCGGUAAUACGGAGGUGGCAAGCGUUAUCCGGAUUUACUGGGUGUAAAGGGAGCGCAGGCGGGACAGCAAGUUGGAUGUGGAAUACCGAGGCUUAACCACGGAGCUGCAUCCAAAACUGUUGUUCUUGAGUGAAGUAGAGGUAGGCGGAAUUCCGAGUGUAGCGGUGAAAUGCGUAGAUAUUCGGAGGAACACCAGUGGCGAAGGCGGCCUACUGGGCUUUAACUGACGCUGAGGCUCGAAGGUGUGGGGAGCAAACAGGAU
rnacentral:rRNA from 1 species